AUUGAACGCUGGCGGCAGGCCUAACACAUGCAAGUCGAGCGAGCGGCGGACGGGUGAGUAAUGUAUGGGGAUCUGCCCGAUAGAGGGGGAUAACUACUGGAAACGGUUGCUAAUACCGCAUACUAUCGGAUGAAUCCAUAUGGGAUUAGCUAGUGGGUGGGGUAAAGGCGCACCAAGGCGACGAUCUCUAGCUGGUCUGAGAGGAUGAUCAGCCACACUGGGACUGAGACACGGCCCAGACUCCUACGGGAGGCAGCAGUGGGGAAUAUUGCACAAUGGGCGCAAGCCUGAUGCAGCCAUGCCGCGUGUGUGAAGAAGGCCUUCGGAUUGUAAAGCACUUUCAGCGAGGAGGCGUUACUCGCAGAAGAAGCACCGGCUAACUCCGUGCCAGCAGCCGCGGUAAUUC
rnacentral:rRNA from 1 species